GGACUUAGAGUCGUCCCCUUGGCAGCAUCUUUCGUCGAUCAACACAUUGAGCAUGCAGCAGGGAUAAUAAUUGGAUUUAGCAUCGCGCAUUAUACAAGAGAGAAAGAAAUUUGUCAAUCUCUCAACGAGAUACCUUAUUUGAUUGCGUGUACAUGAGAACAGACAGAGAGAUGAAUGGCGAUAAACAAACUGCUACUAACUUGGUUUCGUCGAUCAUGUCCACUUCCUGAGGUGCUGUAAUUGGUGUAUUGGAGUGACCAGCGGUCGGGUCAUCGUUAGCCAGUUCUCCAUUAGUUGAUGAUACCACCUGUACACAUCAUUUUAUGUUUCGAAUACUACUGUCGGAUGUCAAAAUCGGAAAAGUCCUUUUUACAUUCUAUUUGAAUUGGAUGAUAAAGUAAUACACAUUGAAAAUCAAUUUAUCUAAAGUCUACUUACAAAUCACACAAAAAACCAAGUGAGAUCUUAUGUGGCAAAAGAAGAAGGGGAGGGGGUGAAAGAAGGAAAGAAGAGUGAGACUUGAAGAGUAACGUAAGACAAGACUACUGCUGGUAUACAUAGAUUCAAUAAAGCAAUAUACUAAAAAAAUGAAAGAAAGCGAAAUAAUAAAUUCUGAUCUUCCUCAAAAGUCAUACGCUUCGUACGUGACGAUGAUACUUUUGUUAUUGCAAGUGCAUAUGGGAAGACAAGUGAUCGUACUAAUACCGGAUUAGUAUCUCAUAUCCAAUCAAAGAGAGAAGUGGUGCUUUGUCUAGAAAUAGAGCGAGCAGUUUAUUCCUGAUAAAUUGAGGCAUCCCGUAUACGACAUUAUGAGUGAGAGACGAGAGAGAUGAUAUAAUAGUUAGGAAAGAACAUGGAUAAUUUCGUACUUCAUCGAUCUUUCCGCGUGAUGUCUAUCACAUAAAAAACGAAUGUAACAUCCGCUGGAGCUUUUACAAAAGGCUUUUUUUUACAUGACGUGAAUAAAUAAAGGGAGAAUCGACACGAUUAU
rnacentral:lncRNA from 13 species